rnacentral:sRNA from 1 species
GCUUCCGCCAGGAGAGAGCUGGCGGAGUUGAGGCGCCGGCUUUCCCGGGUCUUCUCCAGCUGCCACCGCUUUGCUGCAAAGCUGACGGGCGCAAAGACAUGAGUGACUCCGCGGGAGGGCGCGCUGGUCUCCGGCGUUAUCCCAAGCUCCCAGUGUGGGUGGUGGAGGAUCAUCAGGAGGUUCUACCCUUUAUAUACCGGGCCAUAGGCUCAAAGCAUCUUCCUGCCAGUAAUAGAAUUAAGUAUUGAAAAUUGGAUUAUGCCUGCGGUUUAUGCUGGCCAUUUUUCACAUGUAAUAUGGUUUCAUCCCGCAUGGGCUCAGCAAAUCAGAGAGGGCAGACACCACUUUCUAGUGGGCAAAGACACUUCUACCACAACAAUCAGGGUUACAAGUACAGAUCAUUACUUCCUAAGUGAUGGUCUGUAUGUACCUGAAGACCAGCUAGAGAACCAAAAACCUUUACAAUUGGAUGUAAUUAUGGUGAAACCUUAUAAACUCUGUAACAAUCAAGAAGAAAAUGAUGCAGUGUCUUCUGCUAAGAAACCAAAGCUAGCCCUGGAAGAUUCGAGAAACACUGCCUCUACUAACCGUGACUCCUCUUCAGAAGGACUGGAAAAGGACACAGCAACACAGAGAAGUGACCAGACUUGCCUAGAACCAUCAUGUUCAUGUUCUUCUGAAAACCAGGAAUGCCAGACUGCUGCCAGCACUGGGGAAAUUCUGGAAACUUUGAAGAAAGGGAAGGCAUUUGUUUUAGAUAUUGACUUGGAUUUUUUUUCAGUCAAGAAUCCCUUCAAAGAAAUGUUCACU